rnacentral:rRNA from 1 species
UGGGGAAUUUUGCGCAAUGGGGGAAACCCUGACGCAGCAACGCCGCGUGGAGGAUGAAAUCCCUUGGGAUGUAAACUCCUUUCGAUCGGGAAGAUAAUGACGGUACCGAGAGAAGAAGCCCCGGCUAACUUCGUGCCAGCAGCCGCGGUAAUACGAGGGGGGCAAGCGUUGUUCGGAAUUAUUGGGCGUAAAGGGUGCGUAGGCGGUCUGAUAAGUCUGAUGUGAAAUCUAUGGGCUCAACCCAUAGUCUGCAUUAGAAACUGUCGGGCUUGAGUAUGGGAGAGGUGAGUGGAAUUUCCGGUGUAGCGGUGAAAUGCGUAGAUAUCGGAAGGAACACCUGUGGCGAAAGCGGCUCACUGGACCAUUACUGACGCUGAUGCACGAAAGCUAGGGGAGCAAA